GACGAACGCUGGUGGCGCGCCUAACACAUGCAAGUCGAACGAGCGAGAGAGAGUUUGCUUUCUCGAGCGAGUGGCGAACGGGUGAGUAACGCGUGAGGAACCUGCCUCAAAGAGGGGGACAACAGUUGGAAAUGACUGCUAAUACCGCAUAAGCACACAGUACCGCAUGGUACGGUGUGAAAACUACCGGUGGUAUGAGAUGGACCCGCGUCUGAUUAGCUGGUUGGCGGGGUAACGGCCCACCAAGGCGACGAUCAGUAGCCGACCUGAGAGGGUGACCGGCCACAUUGGGACUGAGACACGGCCCAA
rnacentral:rRNA from 1 species